GUUUUGGGAGCUUUCCAUGCAGUCGAGCGGCAGCGCGGUCUUCGGACUGGCGGCGAGCGGCGAACGGGUGAGUAAUACAUCGGAACAUGCCCAGUCGUGGGGGAUAACACUUCGAAAGAAGUGCUAAUACCGCAUACGUCCUGAGGGAGAAAGCGGGGGAUCGCAAGACCUCGCGCGAUUGGAGUGGCCGAUGUCAGAUUAGCUAGUUGGUGGGGUAAAGGCCUACCAAGGCAACGAUCUGUAGCUGGUCUGAAAGGAUGAUCAGCCACACUGGGACUGAGACACGGCCCAAACUCCUACGGGAGGCAGCAGUGGGGAAUUUUGGACAAUGGGGGCAACCCUGAUCCAGCCAUUCCGCGUGAGUGAAGAAGGCCUUCGGGUUGUAAAGCUCUUUCGGCAGGAACGAAGCGGCGAGCUCUAACAUAGCUCGCUAAUGACGGUACCUGAAGAACAAGCACCGGCUAACUACGUGCCAGCAGCCGCGGUAAUACGUAAGGUGCGAGCGUUAAUCGGAAUUACUGGGCGUAAAGCGUGCGCAGGCGGUUGUGUAAGACAGGUGUGAAAUCCCCGGGCUUAACCUGGGAACUGCGCUUGUGACUGCACGGCUAGAGUAUGGCAGAGGGGGGUGGAAUUCCACGUGUAGCAGUGAAAUGCGUAGAGAUGUGGAGGAACACCGAUGGCGAAGGCAGCCCCCUGGGCCAAUACUGACGCUCAUGCACGAAAGCGUGGGGAGCAAACAGGAUUAUAUACCCUGGUAGUCCACGCCCUAAACGAUGUCUACUAGGUGUUCGGUGAGGAGACUCAUUGAGUACCGCAUCUAAACGCGUGAAGUCGACCGCCUGGGGAGUACGGUCGCAAGAUUAAAACUCAAAGGAAUUGACGGGGACCCGCACAAGCGGUGGAUGAUGUGGAUUAAUUCGAUGCAACGCUAAAAACCUUACCUACCCUUGACAUGCACGGAACCCUGCUGAGAGGUGGGGGGUGCUCGAAAGAGAGCCGUAACACAGUGCUGCAUGGCUGUCCGUCAGCUUCGUGUCGUGAGAUGUUUGGGUUAACUCCCG
rnacentral:rRNA from 1 species